CAGUUCUCGUUCGAUCACCGAAGUUAAGCAACGUCGAGCCUCGUUAGUACCUAACUGGGUGACCGCUUUGGAAUACCAGUUGUUGUAA